rnacentral:rRNA from 1 species
UGGGGAAUAUUGGACAAUGGGCGCAAGCCUGAUCCAGCCAUGCCGCGUGAGUGAAGAAGGCCUUAGGGUUGUAAAGCUCUUUCGGCGGGGACGAUGAUGACGGUACCCGCAGAAGAAGCCCCGGCUAACUCCGUGCCAGCAGCCGCGGUAAUACGGAGGGGGCUAGCGUUGUUCGGAAUUACUGGGCGUAAAGCGCACGUAGGCGGCGCGUCUAGUCAGGGGUGAAAGGCCUGGGCUUAACCUGGGAACUGCCCUUGAUACUGGCGUGCUUGAGUCCGAGAGGGGAUGGUGGAACUCCCAGUGUAGAGGUGAAAUUCGUAGAUAUUGGGAAGAACACCGGUGGCGAAGGCGACCAUCUGGCUCGGAACUGACGCUGAGGUGCGAAAGCGUGGGGAGCAAA